UUUUUUCAGCAGUAUGCUACUUUUAAGUUGUUGUAGUGAAUCCUACCUGUGCGGUAGGGCAAACAGCUAAUAGUUAUGUCGGUUAGGGACUAAGCGAACCAUGGUUGGCUGGCCAACGGUUCACUGGGAGGCACCCGGCACUACAACAGGCCCCUGUAGAAAUGCAGGGGCUUUUCCAUUU
rnacentral:sRNA from 1 species